GGAACUGAAACAUCUAAGUACCCCGAGGAAAAGAAAUCAACCGAGAUUCCCCCAGUAGCGGCGAGCGAACGGGGAGCAGCCCAGAGCCUGAAUCAGUGUGUGUGUUAGUGGAAGCGUCUGGAAAGGCGCGCGAUACAGGGUGACAGCCCCGUACACAAAAAUGCACAUACUGUGAGCUCGAUGAGUAGGGCGGGACACGUGGUAUCCUGUCUGAAUAUGGGGGGACCAUCCUCCAAGGCUAAAUACUCCUGACUGACCGAUAGUGAACCAGUACCGUGAGGGAAAGGCGAAAAGAACCCCGGCGAGGGGAGUGAAAAAGAACCUGAAACCGUGUACGUACAAGCAGUGGGAGCCUCUUUAUGGGGUGACUGCGUACCUUUUGUAUAAUGGGUCAGCGACUUAUAUUCUGUAGCAAGGUUAACCGAAUAGGGGAGCCGAAGGGAAACCGAGUCUUAACUGGGCGUUAAGUUGCAGGGUAUAGACCCGAAACCCGGUGAUCUAGCCAUGGGCAGGUUGAAGGUUGGGUAACACUAACUGGAGGACCGAACCGACUAAUGUUGAAAAAUUAGCGGAUGACUUGUGGCUGGGGGUGAAAGGCCAAUCAAACCGGGAGAUAGCUGGUUCUCCCCGAAAGCUAUUUAGGUAGCGCCUCGUGAAUUCAUCUCCGGGGGUAGAGCACUGUUUCGGCAAGGGGGUCAUCCCGACUUACCAACCCGAUGCAAACUGCGAAUACCGGAGAAUGUUAUCACGGGAGACACACGGCGGGUGCUAACGUCCGUCGUGAAGAGGGAAACAACCCAGACCGCCAGCUAAGGUCCCAAAGUCAUGGUUAAGUGGGAAACGAUGUGGGAAGGCCCAGACAGCCAGGAUGUUGGCUUAGAAGCAGCCAUCAUUUAAAGAAAGCGUAAUAGCUCACUGGUCGAGUCGGCCUGCGCGGAAGAUGUAACGGGGCUAAACCAUGCACCGAAGCUGCGGCAGCGACACUAUGUGUUGUUGGGUAGGGGAGCGUUCUGUAAGCCUGCGAAGGUGUACUGUGAGGUAUGCUGGAGGUAUCAGAAGUGCGAAUGCUGACAUAAGUAACGAUAAAGCGGGUGAAAAGCCCGCUCGCCGGAAGACCAAGGGUUCCUGUCCAACGUUAAUCGGGGCAGGGUGAGUCGACCCCUAAGGCGAGGCCGAAAGGCGUAGUCGAUGGGAAACAGGUUAAUAUUCCUGUACUUGGUGUUACUGCGAAGGGGGGACGGAGAAGGCUAUGUUGGCCGGGCGACGGUUGUCCCGGUUUAAGCGUGUAGGCUGGUUUUCCAGGCAAAUCCGGAAAAUCAAGGCUGAGGCGUGAUGACGAGGCACUACGGUGCUGAAGCAACAAAUGCCCUGCUUCCAGGAAAAGCCUCUAAGCAUCAGGUAACAUCAAAUCGUACCCCAAACCGACACAGGUGGUCAGGUAGAGAAUACCAAGGCGCUUGAGAGAACUCGGGUGAAGGAACUAGGCAAAAUGGUGCCGUAACUUCGGGAGAAGGCACGCUGAUAUGUAGGUGAAGCGACUUGCUCGUGGAGCUGAAAUCAGUCGAAGAUACCAGCUGGCUGCAACUGUUUAUUAAAAACACAGCACUGUGCAAACACGAAAGUGGACGUAUACGGUGUGACGCCUGCCCGGUGCCGGAAGGUUAAUUGAUGGGGUUAGCGGUAACGCGAAGCUCUUGAUCGAAGCCCCGGUAAACGGCGGCCGUAACUAUAACGGUCCUAAGGUAGCGAAAUUCCUUGUCGGGUAAGUUCCGACCUGCACGAAUGGCGUAAUGAUGGCCAGGCUGUCUCCACCCGAGACUCAGUGAAAUUGAACUCGCUGUGAAGAUGCAGUGUACCCGCGGCAAGACGGAAAGACCCCGUGAACCUUUACUAUAGCUUGACACUGAACAUUGAGCCUUGAUGUGUAGGAUAGGUGGGAGGCUUUGAAGUGUGGACGCCAGUCUGCAUGGAGCCGACCUUGAAAUACCACCCUUUAAUGUUUGAUGUUCUAACGUUGGCCCCUGAUCGGGGUUGCGGACAGUGUCUGGUGGGUAGUUUGACUGGGGCGGUCUCCUCCUAAAGAGUAACGGAGGAGCACGAAGGUUGGCUAAUCCUGGUCGGACAUCAGGAGGUUAGUGCAAUGGCAUAAGCCAGCUUGACUGCGAGCGUGACGGCGCGAGCAGGUGCGAAAGCAGGUCAUAGUGAUCCGGUGGUUCUGAAUGGAAGGGCCAUCGCUCAACGGAUAAAAGGUACUCCGGGGAUAACAGGCUGAUACCGCCCAAGAGUUCAUAUCGACGGCGGUGUUUGGCACCUCGAUGUCGGCUCAUCACAUCCUGGGGCUGAAGUAGGUCCCAAGGGUAUGGCUGUUCGCCAUUUAAAGUGGUACGCGAGCUGGGUUUAGAACGUCGUGAGACAGUUCGGUCCCUAUCUGCCGUGGGCGCUGGAGAACUGAGGGGGGCUGCUCCUAGUACGAGAGGACCGGAGUGGACGCAUCACUGGUGUUCGGGUUGUCAUGCCAAUGGCACUGCCCGGUAGCUAAAUGCGGAAGAGAUAAGUGCUGAAAGCAUCUAAGCACGAAACUUGCCCCGAGAUGAG
rnacentral:rRNA from 1 species